rnacentral:lncRNA from 1 species
ACACAUAUGUAUGACGCUAUUGGAAACGGUAGACCACUCCCUUAUGCCUUACUCAUAAUGGCUCUUCUUGAAGCCGCCGGCAUCGACACCUCCGUCGGUCCUCAACAAAAAGCUACAAAGCAUUGGGAGAUUCACGAAUCUUCGCUUCCCAAUAUUGGCGAACAUCGUCCUCCUCCUCCUCCUACACAAUUGCGACGUCCUCAAGCUCCCACUCUUCCAACCAUUUCGGACCAACAUGCUUCCUUG